UACGUAGGGGGCUAGCGUUGUCCGGAAUCAUUGGGCGUAAAGCGCGUGUAGGCGGUCCGGUAAGUCCGCUGUGAAAGUCGGGGGGCUCAACCUCGGAUGACCGGUGGAUACUGUCGGGCUUGAGUACGGAAGAGGCGAGUGGAAUUCCUGGUGUAGCGGUGAAAUGCGCAGAUAUCAGGAGGAACACCAAUUGCGAAGGCAGCUCGCUGGGACGUUACUGACGCUGAGACGCGAAAGCGUGGGGAGCAAACAGG
rnacentral:rRNA from 1 species